GGUUGAACAUAAUUCCCUAAAUCAGGUAUUUGUUUUUCCUGGAGCUUGAAUAUAAUCCUGUAACUAGAUGUUACAAAACCACUUUAAUUACCAAGGAAAGCAAGUCUCUUUAGCUGUUCUCUACCUCAGUGGUCUUCAUUUAGUUAAAUUUGAUCAUCAGUACUAAUUCUGUUUUUCAUAGGGAUAAGCUCGCUCUGGAUUUUUCAAGAUCUGGCCUGUUUCAUAGAUCAGUUGACAUUUCACAAAUCAUAAUGCUGGAUGCCUGUAUUUAGUUGUGUUCACCCACAUUUACUACACAAAUGGAGUACAGUGAUUUAUGCAGAGGUGAGGGGAAACUUUGUUAAUAGCUAAAUUCCCUAA
rnacentral:lncRNA from 1 species